AGAGUUUGAUCCUGGCUCAGGAUGAACGCUGGCGGCGUGCUUAACACAUGCAAGUCGAACGAUUAACCCGCCCUCGGGCGGUUAUAGAGUGGCGAACGGGUGAGUAACACGUGACCAACCUGCCCCUUGCUCCGGGACAACCCAGGGAAACCUCGGCUAAUACCGGAUACUCCGCGCAGCCCGCAUGGGAGGCGCGGGAAAGCCCAGACGGCAAGGGAUGGGGUCGCGGCCCAUUAGGUAGACGGCGGGGUAACGGCCCACCGUGCCCGCGAUGGGUAGCCGGGUUGAGAGACCGAUCGGCCACAUUGGGACUGAGAUACGGCCCAGACUCCUACGGGAGGCAGCAGUGGGGAAUUUUGCGCAAUGGGGGAAACCCUGACGCAGCAACGCCGCGUGCGGGACGAAGGCCUUCGGGUUGUAAACCGCUUUCAGCAGGGAAUAUAGUGAAGGUACCUGCAGAAGAAGCUCCGGCUAACUACGUGCCAGCAGCCGCGGUAAUACGUAGGGAGCGAGCGUUAUCCGGAUUCAUUGGGCGUAAAGCGCGCGUAGGCGGCCCGUCAAGCGGGGUUUCAAAUCCAGGGGCUCAACCUCUGGCCGGACCCCGAACUGGCGGGCUCGAGUGCGGUAGAGGAAGGUGGAAUUCCCAGUGUAGCGGUGAAAUGCGCAGAUAUUGGGAAGAACACCGAUGGCGAAGGCAGCCUUCUGGGCCGCCACUGACGCUGAGGCGCGAAAGCUAGGGGAGCGAACAGGAUUAGAUACCCUGGUAGUCCUAGCCGUAAACGAUGGGCACUAGGUGUGGGGGAGCAUCUCCUCCGUGCCGCAGCCAACGCAUUAAGUGCCCCGCCUGGGGAGUACGGCCGCAAGGCUAAAACUCAAAG
rnacentral:rRNA from 1 species